GACGAACGCUGGCGGCGUGCUUAACACAUGCAAGUCGAACGAAGUGGCGAACGGGUGAGUAACGCGUAAUCAACCUGCCCUUCAGAGGGGGACAACAGUUGAAAACGACUGCUAAUCCCGCAUACUGAAGGAGGGGAUUGCGUCUGCUUAGCUAGUUGGAGGGGUAACGGCCCACCAAGGGGAGGAUCAGUAUCCGGGCUGGUAGGAUGAACGGCCACAUUGGGACUGGGACACGGCCCAAACUCCUACCGGAGGGAGCAGGGGGGAAUCUUCCGCAAUGGGCGAAAGUCUGACGGAGCAACGCCGCGGGAGUGAUGACGGCCUUCGGGUUGUUAAGCUCUGUUAAUCGGGACGCGGUACCGGAAUAGAAAGCCACGGCUAACUACGUGCCAGCAGCCGCGGUAAUUC
rnacentral:rRNA from 1 species